GGCAGCUGUAAUGACUUCUCUCUUCAUUCGCAUCAAAUUUCUUUAAUCCUCAACUUUGCAACAGCAUCGCCUGCAUUUCCACUCCUCACCUGAAACCAUUAAACCUGUGGACAAAGUAACCACGUGUCUUCAGAGUGGAGUGAGGAAAGGGAGUUUAGCUGACUUUCAAACCACUAAAGCUGUGUUGAGGACAGAACAUACACAUUUGGGAUGGCAUCAGACACGACCACCAGCUGCAUUAAGUACUGCAGUGCACCUCCUCAUGAACAGCACCAGAUUUGCCAGUUCUUGCUGUUAAACUACUCUUCCACCAAGGCACUUACAAGUUCCCGGACAUUUCUGGAGGGAAUGGCCCUAGCCCACCCCCUCCAAUCCAACAGGUCCCAGAUGUGCUCAAUGGGAUUGAGAUCUGGGCCCUUCGCUGGCCAUGGCAGAAUACUGACAUUCCUGUCUUGCAGGAAAUCACGCACAGAAUGAGCAAUAUGGCUGGUGGCAUUGUCAUGCUGGAGGGUCAUGUCAGGAUGAGCAUGCAGGAAGGGUACCACAUGAGGGAGGAUGAUGUCUUCCCUGUAACGCACAGCAUUGAGAUUGCCUGCAAUGACAACAAGCUCAGUCCAAUGAUGCUGUGACACACUGCCCCAGAACAUGACAGUCCCUCCACCUCCAAAUCGAUCCCGCUCCAGAGUACAGGCAUUGGUGUAACACACAUUCCUUUGACGAUAGACGCAAGUCCGACCAUCACCCCUGAUGAGACAAAACUGCGACUCAUCAGUGAAGAGCACUUUUUGCCAGUCCUGUCUGGUCCAGUGAAGGUGGGUUUGUGCCCGUAGGCAAUGUUGUUGCCGGUGAUGUCUGGUAAGGACCUACCUUACAACAGGCCUACAAGCCCUCAGUCCAGCCUCUCUCAGCCUAUUGCAGACAGUCUGAGCCCUGAUGGAGGGGACUGUGCGUUCCUGAUGUAACUCGGGCAGUUGUUGUUGUUGCCAUCCUGUACCUGUCCCGCAGGUGUGAUAUUCGGAUGUACCAAUCCUGUGCAGGUGAUGUUACAUAUGGUCUUCCACUAUGAGGACGAUCAGCUGUCCUUCCUGUCUCCCUGUAGCACUGUCUUAGGAGUCUCACAGUACGGACAUUGCAAUUUAUUGUCCUGGCCACAUCUGCAGUCCUCGUCCCUCCAUGCAGUAUGCUUAAGGCAUGUUCACGCAGAUGAACUUUUGGAGUGUUUCAGAGUCAGUAGAAAGGUAUCUUUAAUGUCCUAAGUUUUUAUAACUGUGACCUUAAUUGCCUACCGUCUGUAAGCUGUUAGUGUCUCAAUGAUGUUCCACAGGUGGAUGUUCAUUAAUUGUUUAUGGUUCAUUGAACAAGCAUGAAAACAUUGUUUAAACCCUUUACAAUGAUUCAUUUUAUUUGAAUCUCUACUAAAUUAAAAUACAGUGUCCUGAAAAAGGGACGUUUCUUUUUUGCUGAGAUAUAUAUAUAUAUAUCUACACACACACCUAUCAGAAACAACAUUAAAACCAUCUGCCUAAU